rnacentral:rRNA from 1 species
AUUGAACGCUGGCGGCAGGCCUAACACAUGCAAGUCGAGCGAGUGGCGGACGGGUGAGUAAUGUCUGGGAAUCUGCCUGAUGGAGGGGGAUAACUACUGGAAACGGUAGCUAAUACCGCAUACCAUCAGAUGGGCCCAGAUGGGAUUAGCUUGUUGGUGGGGUAACGGCUCACCAAGGCGACGAUCCCUAGCUGGUCUGAGAGGAUGACCAGCCACACUGGAACUGAGACACGGUCCAGACUCCUACGGGAGGCAGCAGUGGGGAAUAUUGCACAAUGGGCGCAAGCCUGAUGCAGCCAUGCCGCGUGUAUGAAGAAGGCCUUCGGGUUGUAAAGUACUUUCAGCGGGGAGGCGUUACCCACAGAAGAAGCACCGGCUAACUCCGUGCCAGCAGCCGCGGUAAUAC